rnacentral:rRNA from 1 species
CCUACGGGAGGCAGCAGUGGGGAAUUUUGGACAAUGGGCGAAAGCCUGAUCCAGCAAUGCCGCGUGUGGGAAGAAGGCCUUCGGGUUGUAAACCACUUUUGUACGGAACGAAACGGUUCGCUUUAAUACAGUGGGCUAAUGACGGUACCGUAAGAAUAAGCACCGGCUAACUACGUGCCAGCAGCCGCGGUAAUACGUAGGGUGCGAGCGUUAAUCGGAAUUACUGGGCGUAAAGCGUGCGCAGGCGGUUAUAUAAGACAGUUGUGAAAUCCCCGGGCUCAACCUGGGAAUUGCAUCUGUGACUGUAUAGCUAGAGUACGGUAGAGGGGGAUGGAAUUCCGCGUGUAGCAGUGAAAUGCGUAGAUAUGCGGAGGAACACCGAUGGCGAAGGCAAUCCCCUGGACCUGUACUGACGCUCAUGCACGAAAGCGUGGGGAGCAAACAGGAUUAGAUACCCUGGUAGUCCACGCCCUAAACCGAUGUCAACUGGUUGUUGGGUGCAUUAGUACUCAGUAACGAAGCUAACGCGUGAAGUUGACCGCCUGGGGAGUACGGCCGCGAAGGUUGAAACGUCAAAGGAAUUGACGG